AUAUAAAUAACAAUUCCAAACAAAGUACAAUUGACCUAUUCUUCACUCAAGAAGUGACUUAUAUAUAGCUUGUUAGGAAACAAAUUAUUCCUUUCCCUGCUAUUUCAUCAUCCAGCUAGUUUCACAUUCUGGGUUUCCUAAGCACAGACAGCUCAAUAGGAUCUAUAUGUAUUUGGGCCUCUGGCAAAUGAUGAGAGUAAUACAAGGUAAAAUAUCUUUUACACUAUUUUAAGAAAUAUGUUUCUUAUUACUUGCUGAAAAUGUGUUUAUUACAGAUUAUCUAGAAAAUAUUGCUCAGCAAAGAAGAAAAUUAAAAUCAUCUGGGGCUUUACGCCCCCAGCCAAAGGGAAUAAAUAAAGGAUGAUGGAGACUUAGAUUGAUGUAUAAACAUCUCAAAAAGAUGUUUCUGCUACCUCAUUAUUUAUGUCAAUGAAAUAGGCUCAGCUGACUAAAAUGUGCAUUCAGCCAUUCAUAUUUUCAGUUUAUAAGAGUCAGUGAGCACAUCAAGAAGAGGAUUAAAACAUAGCUAAACAACUUAUUACCUUCCAUAUCUGCUGAUUGAUGCCAAAUAUUGAUGCCAAAGUAUUUCUAUAACUUUGAUGAAAGGAGAAAGCAUUGAUGGUGAGGGGAAAAACAGCUAGUAUCACACUCUAGCCAAAUCCCAAAAACAGGUUCACAUAACUCCUGUCUUCAUUAUCUGAUACCCAGUGAGUCACUGAAUUCCUUCAUGUAGUCGAAGGCUUUAUGGUCAAUUGUGUCAUAUGCACAGAGGUCAAAGAUCAUGAAUACUGGCAGAGUCUUGGUUUUGGUGUUAUGGAGGCGGACCUGUGAAAGACUAGCCCGGUGCCUGGAGUCUUAUUAACAAAUGACUGGUGAAGACUUUAACAGAAUGGACAGGAUUCUAAGGUGAUAAAAGCAGAGAAAGUUCAGCUUGAUGCAGCAGAACAUUAGAAGGGAGUUUUAUCUUUGUAUAUCCUGUUUUCUUUUUUUUUUGUUUUAGAAUAUGUGAAACUUAUAAAUAGUUGGAUUUGUGAUAAGUAGUCAUAGUGAGCAAGCAUUGAUGGUGAGGAGGAAAACAGCAUUGAUACCAAUAGUGAAGCAGGACUGUGGAGUAUGGAAUUAAGAAGUAGACCUGGGAAAAUUAAAGUUUAGUCUACAUUUUUUUCUGAGAUGAAAAUAUAUUAAAAACAAAAUUUGUAAAGUGGAGAAGAAGAAAAUGAAAUGCAUUAAUAAUAAUUUGAACGUUUAGAUAUUAUUCCAUGAUGCAGACUUUAAAUGUAAUUUAUUUAUGGAGUCCUUGACAUCGCAC